CUUCUACUUCCUCCGUCCAGAAAAGGAUGUCUGAAAUUUGUCUAAAUUUGGAUGUAUCUAGACACUAAAACAUGUCUAGAUACAUCCAUAUUUUGAAAAUUUUGUGACGUCCUUUUUAGGACGGAGGGAGUAUGUA
rfam:Brachypodium distachyon strain Bd21 chromosome 4, whole genome shotgun sequence.